UGUUGCUGUUGUUGUUGUUGUUGCUGUUGUUGUUGUUGUUGCUGUUGUUGUUGAACAACAACAGCAACAACAACAACAACAGCAACAACAACAACAACA
rnacentral:pre_miRNA from 1 species